AUAAGGUGCUGUCAGGGACAUAUUUAUUCAAGCUUACCUCGAUCGCUGACUAUCGAAAAGCUCUGACGUACCGUGGUGGAAUUGAUGACUCGGGGGCGAGGCAACUUUUUGUGCUGGAAUGCCCAGAGAGGCCCCAAACACGCACCUGAUGGUAGACUGGACUUGGGCCGACACAAAAAUGAAGUUCCGUCUGUUUUUACAUCAAGGGCGCAGGCGGCAGUCUAUCAAAAUAGGACCCUUAGUCUUGCAAGAGUUGAGGAAAUCAUGUGUGAUCUUAGCUUCCGUGUGACUUCCCUGUGAAGUCUAGCAAGAUUUACGGCAGGGGGGUCCAAACAACAGCCGUUUAUCUCACAGAGUAGAUCCAGCUCUGCAUGAGACACCAAACGAAUCCCAUCUCUGCAUUCGGAACCCGAAAAAGAGCAAACUCCUAUGUGGCAAUUUUUCAAACAGUUACUUGAGGAUCAUCAAUGUGAUGUCUUCAGAAAUCAGCCGGAAAGCACCAAGUGGAAGAAACCGUUUCUCUU